AAAGGAAAUAAAAGAAAGAAUUAGAAUGAAAAGAAACAGGAUGUGGAACGAAACAGGGGAAGGAAGAAAGAAAAAGAGAAAAGAAAGAAGAAAAGAGAAAAUUGAAGGUUUGAAGCUUGAAAGUUUAAUAGCAAUCUGGUGGAUGUCCAUGUCUUUCAACAUUACAGAACGUCCACAAGAAUCACAUGGAGCAGUCCUUGAGCCACAAAUGCUCUCAUGCUCCGAAAGCCCUCUUAAUCUGUCACGAACAUCCAUGGCAGAGCUUCCAGCUUGAACCAUGUCUCCACAAAACCGACAUGCAAUUAAACGCAGGGGACAAUCUGAGGCUUGGUGUUGCACCUGUCAAUACAAAAUGAAAGUAAAGGUUUAUCAGAAAGAA